rnacentral:tRNA from 1 species
GGGGUUGUAGUUCAGAUGGUUAGAAUGCUGGCCUGUCACGUCAGUGGUCGCGGGUUCGAGUCCCGUCAAUCCCGCCA